rnacentral:misc_RNA from 1 species
GAUGAAGAACGCAGCGAAAUGCGAUAAGUAAUGUGAAUUGCAGAAUUCAGUGAAUCAUCGAAUCUUUGAACGCACAUUGCGCCCGCCAGUAUUCUGGCGGGCAUGCCUGUUCGAGCGUCAUUACAACCCUCAGGCCCCCGGGCCUGGCGUUGGGGAUCGGCGGAAGCCCCCUGCGGGCACAACGCCGUCCCCCAAAUACAGUGGCGGUCCCGCCGCAGCUUCCAUUGCGUAGUAGCUAACACCUCGCAACUGGAGAGCGGCGCGGCCACGCCGUAAAACACCCAACUUCUGAAUGUUGACCUCGAAUCAGGUAGGAAUACCCGCUGAACUUAAGAAUAUCAAUAAGCGGAGG